ACGGGAAGAGCCCAAACCAACAAGCUUGCUUGUUGGGGUUGUAGGACACUCUAUACGGAGUUACAAAGGACGACAUUAGACGAAUCAUCUGGAAAGAUGAAUCAAAGAAGGUAAUAAUCCUGUAGUCGAAAAUGUUGUCUCUCUUGAGUGGAUCCUGAGUACGACGGAGCACGUGAAAUUCCGUCGGAAUCUGGGAGGACCAUCUCCUAAGGCUAAAUACUCUCUAGUGACCGAUAGUGAACCAGUACCGUGAGGGAAAGGUGAAAAGCACCCCGGAAGGGGAGUGAAAUAGAACCUGAAACCGUGUGCUUACAAGUAGUCAGAGCCCGUUAAUGGGUGAUGGCGUGCCUUUUGUAGAAUGAACCGGCGAGUUACGAUUUGAUGCAAGGUUAAGCAGUAA
rnacentral:rRNA from 1 species